rnacentral:rRNA from 1 species
CUAAUACAUGCAGUCGAACGCUUCUUUUUCCACCGGAGCUUGCUCCACCGGAAAAAGAGGAGUGGCGAACGGGUGAGUAACACGUGGGUAACCUGCCCAUCAGAAGGGGAUAACACUUGGAAACAGGUGCUAAUACCGUAUAACAAUCAAAACCGCAUGGUUUUGAUUUGAAAGGCGCUUUCGGGUGUCGCUGAUGGAUGGACCCGCGGUGCAUUAGCUAGUUGGUGAGGUAACGGCUCACCAAGGCCACGAUGCAUAGCCGACCUGAGAGGGUGAUCGGCCACAUUGGGACUGAGACACGGCCCAAACUCCUACGGGAGGCAGCAGUAGGGAAUCUUCGGCAAUGGACGAAAGUCUGACCGAGCAACGCCGCGUGAGUGAAGAAGGUUUUCGGAUCGUAAAACUCUGUUGUUAGAGAAGAACAAGGAUGAGAGUAACUGUUCAUCCCUUGACGGUAUCUAACCAGAAAGCCACGGCUAACUACGUGCCAGCAGCCGCGGUAAUACGUAGGUGGCAAGCGUUGUCCGGAUUUAUUGGGCGUAAAGCGAGCGCAGGCGGUUUCUUAAGUCUGAUGUGAAAGCCCCCGGCUCAACCGGGGAGGGUCAUUGGAAACUGGGAGACUUGAGUGCAGAAGAGGAGAGUGGAAUUCCAUGUGUAGCGGUGAAAUGCGUAGAUAUAUGGAGGAACACCAGUGGCGAAGGCGGCUCUCUGGUCUGUAACUGACGCUGAGGCUCGAAAGCGUGGGGAGCAAACAGGAUUAGAUACCCUGGUAGUCCACGCCGUAAACGAUGAGUGCUAAGUGUUGGAGGGUUUCCGCCCUUCAGUGCUGCAGCUAACGCAUUAAGCACUCCGCCUGGGGAGUACGACCGCAAGGUUGAAACUCAAGGAAUUGACGGGGGCCCGCACAAGCGGUGGAGCAUGUGGUUUAAUUCG